rnacentral:rRNA from 1 species
GACGAACGCUGGCGGCGUGCCUAACACAUGCAAGUGGAGCGACGAACCGGGCUUCGGCCCGGGGCCAAGCCGCGAACGGGUGAGUAACACGUGGGUAACCUGCCCUGAUGAUUGGGACAACCCGAGGAAACUCGGGCUAAUACCGAAUGUGCCCUCCGACCAUAAGGUCUGCGGGGAAAGGAAGCUUCGGCCUCCGCAUCGGGAUGGGCCCGCGGCGCAUUAGCUUGUUGGUGAGGUAACGGCUCACCAAGGCGACGAUGCGUAGCUGGUCUGAGAGGACGAUCAGCCACACUGGGACUGAGACACGGCCCAGACUCCUACGGGAGGCAGCAGUGGGGAAUCUUGCGCAAUGCGCGAAAGCGUGACGCAGC